rnacentral:rRNA from 1 species
CAGCCGCCACGGGAAUACAGAGGAUGCAAGCGUUAUUCGGAAUGAUUGGGCGUAAAGGGUGCGUAGGCGGUUUGAUAAGUCUGAUGUGAAAUCUCUGGGCUCAACCCAGAGUCUGCAUCGGAAACUGUCGGGCUUGAGUAUGGGAGAGGUGAGUGGAAUUUCCGGUGUAGCGGUGAAAUGCGUAGAUAUCGGAAGGAACACCUGUGGCGAAAGCGGCUCACUGGACCAUUACUGACGCUGAUGCACGAAAGCUAGGGGAGCAAACAGGAUUAGAUACCCGAGUAGUCCCUGUCUCUUAUAC